UCCCUGGUGGUCCAGUGGUUAGGACUCUGUGCUUCCACUGCAGGGGAACCCAGGUUCGAUCCCUGGUUAGGGAA